UCCCUGGUAGCUCAGCUGGUAAAGAAUCUGCUUGCGAUGCAGGAGACCUGGGUACAAUCCCUGGUUUGGGAA
rfam:Ovis aries breed Texel chromosome 3, whole genome shotgun sequence.